rnacentral:rRNA from 1 species
CACUCCUGCGGGAGGCAGCAGUGGGGAAUUUUGGACAAUGGGCGAAAGCCUGAUCCAGCAAUGCCGCGUGAGUGAAGAAGGCCUUCGGGUUGUAAAGCUCUUUUGUCAGGGAAGAAACGGUGAAAGCUAAUAUCUUUUGCUAAUGACGGUACCUGAAGAAUAAGCACCGGCUAACUACGUGCCAGCAGCCGCGGUAAUACGUAGGGUGCAAGCGUUAAUCGGAAUUACUGGGCGUAAAGCGUGCGCAGGCGGUUUUGUAAGUCUGAUGUGAAAUCCCCGGGCUCAACCUGGGAAUUGCAUUGGAGACUGCAAGGCUAGAAUCUGGCAGAGGGGGGUAGAAUUCACGUGUAGCAGUGAAAUGCGUAGAUAUGUGGAGGAACACCGAUGGCGAAGGCAGCCCCCUGGGUCAAGAUUGACGCUCAUGCACGAAAGCGUGGGGAGCAAACAGGAUUAGAUACCCGAGUAGUCCC